rnacentral:tRNA from 1 species
GCUUUCCUAGCUCAAUUGGAUAGAGCGCCAGAUUACGGAUCUGGAGGCUGGUUGGGUUCGAGUCCCCCGGAGAGCA